rnacentral:rRNA from 1 species
CCCAUUCCGAACAGAGAAGUUAAGCCCACCAGAGCCGAUGGUACUGCGGUAACACGUGGGAGAGUAGGUCGGUGCCAAAU